UAGGCUACGUGGCAGAACUCUGACUCAAAUCCAAGGUUGCCGGCCUUCCAGAGGCAAGCUCUUGGCACCCACCGUGGCUGCUUCCAUGGUCAGAGGCUUGCACAGUGGUUGAGAGCCCAGACUGGGGACAGUCAACUGGGGCUCAGAUUCUGGUUCUGGCGCUUCCUGGAGGAACCCUGUGGAUUUCAAGCAGAAUCGAGAAAAUGUCAAACCUGUCUGGGAAGAGGCUAUUUAAGUGAGACCUGAAGGAUGAGAUUGAACGAGCUACGUAAAGGAACGAACAGUGAUUCAGACCAAGGCAGCAGCCUGUGAGAAGACCCUGAGCUGAGAACCAGGGCAAGAGUGAUGUGCAUGAGCCGCAGACGACUCUAUGCCACUUCAAUGCUAACAGCUGGUGGGAGCUCCCUCGGCCUCCAGUGUCUCCAGUUUGGGUUUGAACACCGCCCUGAAAUUCUUCUGGGUUGAGGCCGGCCUAAGACGUGCCCCAAUUUGUGUGUAAGAACAGCUGAUACUGAUCCAGCACU